ACGGGAGGUAGCAGUGGGGAAUAUUGCACAAUGGGGGAAACCCUGAUGCAGCGACGCCGCGUGAGUGAAGAAGUAUUUCGGUAUGUAAAGCUCUAUCAGCAGGGAAGAAAAUGACGGUACCUGACUAAGAAGCCCCGGCUAACUACGUGCCAGCAGCCGCGGUAAUACGUAGGGGGCAAGCGUUAUCCGGAUUUACUGGGUGUAAAGGGAGCGUAGACGGCAAAGCAAGUCUGAUGUGAAAUGUUGGGGCUCAACCCCGAAACUGCAUUGGAAACUGUUUAGCUAGAGUGCAGGAGAGGUAAGUGGAAUUCUUAGUGUAGCGGUGAAAUGCGUAGAUAUUAGGAGGAACACCAGUGGCGAAGGCGGCUUACUGGACGGUAACUGACGUUGAGGCUCGAAAGCGUGGGGAGCAAACAGGAUUAGAUACCCUGGUA
rnacentral:rRNA from 1 species